GCUAAAUGUACUUCGAAAGCUUUCGUACUCUAAAAAUAGAAUGGCCCAAUAACAUUGAUAUAAAGUGCUAGUCAAAAAGAAAACAACACUAGCGUAUGGCUCCAUUGUUUAAAUUCUAUGAUGAAAAGUAGAAAGAUUGCUUUCUUAAAAAACGCCAACGUAGAACCCAAUAUGGCAUGGAUACUUUCAGAAAAUUACUGGAUUGAGUUUAAGCAAGAGAGUCAGUCGGCAGCCGACUG